rnacentral:tRNA from 1 species
GCGGAUGUAACUCAAUUGGUAGAGUCCCGGCUUCCCAAGCCGGUGGUUGCGGGUUCGAGCCCCGUCAUCCGCU